CCAAGCGUGUAGCCUGGGUGGGAAGGCGGGACGAGCGCCCCAGACUCGGCGAUGAGUGGGCCGAACCGGCGAAACGCAGCGGCGAGGAGACUGGGAGCUGGGACCGCCCCUUUGCCUGGGCCAGCCAGAUUUGACUUCCCUCGCGGAUUGGGGAUAAGAUCAUUCGCCACGUGGGUAUAAUUCACGGUGAAAACUGCCCAUACACAGCAGUGAUUUGGGGCAGAGAGCCUGUCUGCCCCAGAAUUCCUCGUGAACGGGACGGUGCUCUGAACUCAGUGAAGCAUCGCUUUGACACUAGGUGGAGCCCUGGAUUGUCAGUAGGUGGAAAAGCCACCCGUCAAAGAAAUAGGUUUGAGCACCACUGGGAAGCUGGCUUUUGGAGAUCAAGUAACUGCUGCAUGUGAUCCUUAUGGUAGUGAAGGUGACUGUAAGGAACGUAAGUUUUGGACCAGCUUCCAUGUUAAAGAAGCCUGGACUAACCUGCUGGAGACGCAUGGCCCAACUAACAACCAGCACCACCUCCAAGACGUGUAAGGCCAGCUGAGACCAGCAUUCUCCAGCCAACCUGUCAAACUGCGAGGCUGGCUGCAAACGCAUGAGUGAGCCCAGCUGACGUGUAAAGAAGAAGUGCCCCAGCUGGGCCCAGCCCAAGUUGCUAACCUGCAAAAUCAUAAAAACAUCCUACCAAUUCACAGAUCUGAAGUUCCUGGAUGAAGAGGAAAAUUGGACCCCUUAAGAAAAGACCGUGCAGCAAUGCCGCAAAUAAUUACUGUAGCUCUUCCUCCAAGCCAUCCCCAAAGGAAUGUAAAGUAAUUUACUAGGGUGUCUGUGCAUUUGGGGAAAUGGAAAUACCCAAACUUUUCAGGAAUUCCAAAACACUGCUCUGAAAUGACACUAAUUCCUAGGAACCCCAAAUACCACUGUAAUCCAGUGGUCAAAAUAGGGGCUUAGAGCAAUCAGGUGAUAAACAGAGUUUGGGCUCAAGUCCAUCUCACCAUGGAUCUGUGACCCAUGCAGCCAUUAAAAAUGAUAAUUAGGAAGACUAGUCAGCCACAUAGCUUGAACUAUGUGUAUACACUAUGUGUAUAACACAGUGACAAAUUUGAAAAAAAAAAAAAAAAAGGACUGAAAAUGACAAGUUAAAAAAGCCAAAACUAUGUACAUGUCUGGACAAAGAGCAAAUGCUAACAACAAAAAUGAAAAUACUUGUGCUUGGAUGAUGAGAUCAUAGGUGAUUUUUGUUUGUUUGAUCUUUCUCAAUUCCUCAAACUCUCCCAAAUGCUAUUUUUGCUUUCCUUGUAAAAGGUACUUUUUUAAAAAAAGACUUAGAACUCAUUUAGCUCUUUUGUUUUGAGGAUUGCCAUCAUACACUUUUCUGCCAAUCAUAGUAAGGUCAUAAUAAGUAAGAAUGUUAAGCAUAGCCAUUUUCUCCAAUAUUAUAGUGAAUCUCAGAGCCAAUCAUGCAUGAGGCAUCUAUCACAUACAAGAUGCUGCAGGAAUGACAAAAUCUCGUUCUCUCCCUGCCUUCCAGGAGCUUACAGUCUAAGGGGAAGAUAUAAAAUGUGCUCAAAUCCUCAUGAUUCAAAACUGAAAAAGAUAACCGCUUCAGGGAGGGACAAAGAAAACACUGCUCUGCCCAAAGUAAAGAGAGCGCAUAUUCAAGUGGAGAAAAACAGAAACUAUUCUCUGGCAGAGCUGGCAUCUGAAGGAUGGAUAGGGUUUUGCGAGGGAGAAUUGAGGUCCCAGAAAGGAGGUGCUCUGGGUGAAGGGGCUGGCAUAAGGCAUCCUGGAGGAAUGGAGAGCCCUUUGGCUUAGCUGAAGAAUGCAGCAUGUACAGGAGAGCCUGGGGACACAAAACCUCUUGGCUGGAAAUCCUUGGAGCAUAACUCAUUUCUCCUUCAGGGCUAGGAUUUAGGAGGUAUCUACUAUGUUAAAUAACAAGUACUAUGUGCUGUACAUGCUAAGUACCUGAUAAAGGAAGAUGCUAACUACCUUUCUUAUAUUAUAGCCAGCCCCUCAUAUCCAUGAGUUCCACAUCCAGGAAGUCAACCAACUGAGGACUGAAAAUAUUAGGAAAAAAAAAUUGAGGAAAAUUGCAAAAAGCAAAACUUGAAUUUGCCGUGUAACAGCAACUAUGACACAGCAUUUACAACUAUUCAUUUAAGCAUUUACAUUGGGUAUUUAAGUAAUCUGGAGCUGGUGGAAAGUAUACAGGAGGAUGUGCAUAAGUUAUACACACAUACAGAACCAUUUUACAUAAGGGACUUGAGCACCCACGUAUUUGGUAUCCAAGGGGGUGCUGAAGCCAAUCCCCUGCAGAUACUGAGGGAUGACCGUAUUCUUCUUCUAGAUACGGCAACUGAUGCUUGGAGAGAUCAAAAGAUAUGUGCAAACUUGUGUAAUUCAUAUAUAGUUCAGUUGGGGUUGGAAUCUCUGAUGUCAGAGCCUUUCCUCCAUCCGCGCUCCUGUAGUGCCUCUUUGGAAAAAAUAAGAGUGAAAUUAAAGACCACACAUGUAUGUAGCCAGUAAAAUCCCACCUUAAAGUCCCAGCUGAUAGGAAAUCAAGACACAUGGUGGGGUAUACUGAAUAUGGUUUCAUUGCCCUAGCACUAUCCCUUCCAAACUAAACAGGCAGCCCUGACCAAAUUUCUUAACCUCUCUGUGACUCAGUUUCCUUAUGUAUAAAAUAGAGACACAAAUAGUGCCUUUUUCAAAGGGUUUUGAGAGAAUUCAUUCCAAUAACAUGUAUAAAAUGCUAAACAAUGUUGGGCAUAUAAUAAGUACUUGGUAAAUGUUAGACGUUAUGAUUGUAGGCUGUAGUGUAGGACAUUUCUCACACUUGGAUACACUGCUUCAUGGUCUUCUUCCCCAAAGCAGCCUGAAUUUUGGCAUACUGGAGCUAGGGAGCCCUGUCCCUGCUUGGUAUUUUAGAAAAUAUCUCCAAUCUAGGACUAAAGAUGGUGGUAUUUUGACAGAAGGCAAUAUGCCACCGGGUUCCAACAGAGUUAAAUAUUACCAUCCAAGGAUGCAGCACGCCAAUUACAUAUCUGUGGGGAGGUGGGUCCCAGCAUGGAUAGACUUGCUUCUUCAGGGAGAAGGUCUUGUCUGCCUGCUCUGAUCUCUGCAGCCUUAGGAGGUGCUGCUUCUCCAUCAGGGACCCCAGACCAACACGUGGGACCCCGGCCAUCUGAAGAGGGCAUCCAAGGGUGCCUCAAAGGCUUUUAAAUCUAUGGGAGCCGACUGGCCUGAUGGAACGUUAAACCUACUGACCUGGAUGCGGCCUGAGGAAACCACUUAGCCAAAAGUAGAACAUCUGGAACACUUUGAAGAAGAAACAAUUUUUAUUCUUCAACAGCAACAUUUGAUUUGUAUAGAAAAAGCUGAAAUGUUAUUUAAUUUGUCUGUUACUCACUUUCACACCCCUUCAUUCCCAUUCUUAGUCUGUGUACCAGUCAGGAUUAGGCCCACUCAUCAUCUGUUAUACUUGAUAAUGUUUACAUUUGGAUAGUUCAGGGGUCAGCUGAGCUUCGUGGCCCCAGCACAAAGACCAGAUUUAACACGAUUAGCCUGCUGUCACCACGUCCAGUUACCCUCCUCCUUGACACACACAUAAUGGGAUCCCACAGGAUUUCUAGUGCUGACCAUCAAAGGCCUCAGCUAGUGAGUAUCACUGUGUCACAGACCUGGAAACUGAGCCCUGGAAAGGUUAAUUUUAAAGUCAUAUAGAGGGCUAGGAAAUGAGCCUUAGUUUGGGGCUUUGACCAUCAUGGCUACUCAUCUGAAAUCUUUGCAGAAAGAGCAUAUUAGCAUACCAAAAUUUAAAAUGUGUACUGUUGGCUUCUGAGGUUAAGAAAAUAGAAUUUUUUUUUGAAGGAAAGAUGUAGUUAAAAAAAAUUUAGACCUCACAAAAAUACUCAGUGGCUUUUCUCCACAAUCUGUAGUCGACCACUUGUGUAUUUAAAUGCUUAAAUACUUCAUUAGGACAACUCAAAUGCUUUCGAGAUUCCUAUAAGCCCUAAAAUGUCAAUUAUGGCUUGACUUUGUAUAAAGCCUUGUUUGUGAGCUUGCAGUCUUGAUAGGCUUGUCCGGUAUCCAGAGGAAACUACAGAUAAAAGUAACGCUACUGGCAAUCUGUCCCUUCCUGUAACUGGAAAUCUCCACUUGUCUCUGCUUCUGGAAAUCACUUCGGAAACUUACAGGGAAAUAAUUCCCUUUGUUUCCAGUCUGGAAGCAAGAGAGAGCCUGAGGACACUCACUGGGGUCCAGGAUCCAGUGUGGUCAUUUUCUAAAGUGCAGUAGUGUGUGAUGGGAGCCACGGGCUGCAGGAGGGAGAGCCCGGAUC